UGUGUACUCCCUCCGUCCGAAAAUACUUGUCAUCAAAAUGGAUAGAAAUGGAUGUAUCUAGAACUAAAAUAUGUCUAGAUACAUCCUCUUUUAUUCAUUUUAUUGACAAGUAUUUCCGGACGAAGGGAGUAGUUA
rnacentral:pre_miRNA from 1 species